GAGGGGAAAUAGGAAAAAUUAAUUGGGGACUACAUUUCCCAGAACCCUUUGGGGGAAAAGAGCCAAUCAAUCUGGGCAGGACUUUUCAAUUUCAGAGGAAGAAGUAGCCGUCGUUGCUCUCUGAGGUUUCAGUCCCUGCCUGCCUUCCACAAAAUUGUACCAGUUGUCUUGUGAAAGAUCUUUUCCACGCCAUUGAAGAGGUGGGGCGAACAAGAUUCCCGGGGAUCAGAGGGAUGAAAAGAAUUGACCGGUUUAAGCAGCAGCUGUGGAUCAUUGGAGGGAUGUGCAUUAGCCAUCCGGCCACAGGGAAAUCUAUCUUCUGCAUAUGCCGUGUUGCUCGUGAGACUGUUGUCGGAUCAAAUGUCCGUUCUAACCGGGAAGAGGUCGUACAC